ensembl:lncRNA
GGACAAGUUCCUGAGAAAAGUACUUGUUUUCAUGCUGAGUAUCUCUGCUGGAAAAUAAGGAGUAAAUAAAUGAGUAAUUUUAAGCAAAUAGUCAGACUUUUUGGACAGGGACUUCUCCUCAGCUGGAAAUUUGAUGCUUUCAAGGAUAUUGUUGUGUAGGGACAUAUGGAGUUCAUCUUGGAGAUUAUGAGCACUGAUGGAGAGCUAGAUGGGCACUAUAUUACCAAAUGUGUACAAAGAAACCUGAGUCAUGCAAACCAAGUGAGUGAUUCAGUUCCAGUAGAAAAUAAUAAUAAUAAUUAAAAAAACAUGGAUAUCAAGUCACAAAAAAAUAGUUUGAAGGCAGUAGUCGAGGUAAAGCUAAAUAAUUUUAGAGAACAAAGAGAAAGACUUGGUGUAUUGUAAUUGUUGAGUCAUGGCCUAAACCACUGAUUGAGCACCUGGGGAAAGGACCCGGUCAGCCGUGGGAGCACAGGUGAAUGCAAUUCAGCUGUAGGAUUGGAAGGGGUGGGGCUUGGCUGCACCUCCCUUAGACCUCUUUUAAGGGCUGACUGGCAUUGUGGUAGUAUUUCUUUCUAGAGAUUCCUUCUUGGUGCAGCUUUCCUCUGUGAGCCUAGAAUCUUCUGAUGUGGUUGAGCAAUCUUCUUCCCUUUCUUUAUAGCACUUUUCUAUUGUGGUGGUCCUUUUGUUAUCAUGUGUUUCUUGUAACGCCUUUUCCAUUGUAUUGAUCUGUCUAAUUGCUACAUAUGGAAACAAGAGGAGACCUACUAGCAGAAAACUUCUGGAAGCAUGUGAAAAGCUAAUAUGCAGCCACAUGUGGACAGUUUUGGGGGCAGCAAGACUGGAGAGAAAUUAAAAAGGGCUGUGAGAGGUAUAGCAGAGGGACAUGGAACUAUGCCCAGGGUCAACAAGCAAGGGAAGGAAGGGUACUCAGCAGCUGUUAUUUAUUCACAAAGAAGAAACGCUAUCUCUGAAAAAACUGCUGUGGUCCAGUCUGUGUUAUUUACUUCACCGAUACCAUGGGCUGGGAGAAGCAGCACAUUACAACUGUUGUUGUCAGCAUCUCCUCCAGAAGACGUAACGUAUAGUCUCUAUGCCCUGUGGAAUUCUGGAGAGUGCAUGCUUUCAUCGGAGACUUCACAAAGCAUUCACAACAGGACUCUUUCCCAGGGAUACUGGUUCACAGAUGCUCUCUUUCAGCCAGCCUUGUAUCAUCAGAUUUUUUGCAAACCUGAGCCUAAGGACAUGUGAUCCUGAAUCACUUCCACUGAAAUGCCCUAGGAUUGUUUUGAGACAAAAGCUUGGCUCAUGGUGGCUUUUCUCAGAAAAGCAAGCAGAGGGGAGCUGUCAUGAGCCAUGUUUUACUGCAGUGCUUUGUUGGUCUGUCUGUCUGUAUAAUUUCAAAAUUGCUGAUUCAUCUCCAGGCUUUGAAACUAGUGACUCCAAACAUGGCCCUUUUCUAACUUUGGGAACAUUUUUUCAUGGUAUGUAGAUAAAUGACAUGUUAAUGUAAAUUGUCAGGCUCAGCCUAGAGUUAAUCUGUUUUGCUGUAUGGAAGGCAAAACAAGAAAAUUCCUUCAAGGCUGUUCCUCAGAUUUAGCUCCAGUUGCAUUCUCUCUGUUCCUGCCAAAAUGUGAGCAAUGGUCAGAAAAAAUUGUUCUUCAGCAUGGGGGAGUCAAACAGCUAAUGAGCAAAACCAAGCCCAUCCCUCUGCGAUCUAAACCAAUGCACAAAGAUGGCUCUGAGAGAGCGCUCUGCAAGCUCCUUCCUGUUUGCUAUAGGUUGCACAGUUGGAUACCCUAAUUGAGAAAGGCUAGAUGCAUCACUAGUGAAAAAAGUCUCUCAUCACUGGGAUUUGCAUACGGUAGCAUGACAUUGUGCAGCCACGCAAGAAAUUGUAGUGCAGAGGCCUUGUUUCUGUGGUCAACUUAAAGAAGCUGACAUGAUAUUCAGUAAAAGCACAGUAUGGGAAGUUUACCUCAGAGGUAUGGGUUUCUGAACUACUGCAUACCCAUGUGUGGGGUUUGCUUACAUGAGAGCAGGUUCAAAUCAGAAUGAGCGAAACAAGAGACAAGUCCAUUUAAUUUUGAAUUUCACUGUGCUCUAGAUAAUGUGUAGGGGCUCAUCUGUUUUCCCCCACAGUGCUCAGGACAAACUGUAACUGCCUGUAAGUGUUUCUAGUUAUAGAAAGCAAAAAUCUUGCAAAAUCCCAUCUUAGCUAUUUACAAGUAAGAUUCUGGAUGGAUACACCUGUCAUUUAAUCAGACAUUUAGCUGUGUUUAGAAUAACAUCUGUGUUUUGAAGCAGAGGUAAAAAAAAAAAACUAUAUUAAUGUCCUUUAUAUAUACAUGUUGUUAAAUGUGUAUAUUAGCUGCCACUGAAACGAGUACUUGAAUGUGGAUGUGACAAAUCUGUCUUUGGUAAAUAAUUCAGGUCAUCUAAGCUGAUCUCAACUAAGAUUGGACUUAUGUCCAGGUACUGAACUUCCCUUUCCUGUGUUUUCAGAUCACUGUAAUUUAAUAUUCCAGGAUGCACAUGAUUUACCAAGCAAGAAAACCUAUUUGUUAUUGAGACCAAUAAUUUUAAGAUACCACUGAAGGAUACAGGUUAUUCUUUUCUGAAAAACAGAAUUAAUGCAGUUCUUCAUUUCUGAACUGAAGAGUUCCUUAUUUUCUCUCUUACAUAACCACCCACAUUUAAAAGGAUGGAAAAAUAGGAAAGUGGAAGAAUAAAACUUUGUGCUUACUGUUUUGGAGACGGUAU